rnacentral:rRNA from 1 species
GGAAGUAAAAGUCGUAACAAGGUUUCCGUAGGUGAACCUGCGGAAGGAUCAUUAUCGAGUUUUGAAUGGGUUGUCUGCUGGCUCGCAAGGGCAUGUGCACGCCUGUCUCAUCCACUCUCAACUUCUGUGCACUUUUCAUAGGCCGGCUUGUGGGUGCGUUCGCGCACUUGUAGGUGUCGGGCUUAUGCUUUACUACAAACGAUUCAGUUUUAGAAUGUCAUACUUUGCUAUAACGCAAUUAUAUACAACUUUCAGCAACGGAUCUCUUGGCUCUCGCAUCGAUGAAGAACGCAGCGAAAUGCGAUAAGUAAUGUGAAUUGCAGAAUUCAGUGAAUCAUCGAAUCUUUGAACGCACCUUGCGCUCCUUGGUAUUCCGAGGAGCAUGCCUGUUUGAGUCUCAUGGAAUUCUCAACCUUCAGCUUUAUUGAUGAAGGCUUGGACUUGGAGGUCGUGCCGGCUCUCGUAGUCGGCUCCUCUGAAAUGCAUUAGUGCGAACGUUACCAGCCGCUUCAGCGUGAUAAUUAUCUGCGUUGCUGUGGAGGGUAUUCUAGUGUUCACGCUUCUAACCGUCUUCGGACAAAUUUCUGAACUCUGAGCUCAAAUCAGGUAGGACUACCCGCUGAACUUAAGCAUAUCAAUAAGCGGAGGA